rnacentral:rRNA from 1 species
UACGUAGGGUGCAAGCGUUGUCCGGAAUUAUUGGGCGUAAAGAGCUCGUAGGCGGUUCGUCGCGUCGGCUGUGAAAACCCGGAGCUCAACUCCGGGCCUGCAGUCGAUACGGGCGGACUUGAGUGUUGCAGGGGAGACUGGAAUUCCUGGUGUAGCGGUGAAAUGCGCAGAUAUCAGGAGGAACACCGGUGGCGAAGGCGGGACUCUGGGCCGAUACUGACGCUGAGGAGCGAAAGCGUGGGGAGCGAACAGG